rnacentral:rRNA from 1 species
CACGAGUUUGAUCAUGGCUCAGAACGAACGCUGGCGGCAGGCCUAACACAUGCAAGUCGAGCGAACCCUUCGGGGUUAGCGGCGGACGGGUUAGUAACGCGUGGGAAUAUACCCUUUGGUACGGAAUAGCCUCGGGAAACUGAGAGUAAUACCGUAUGUGCCCUUCGGGGGAAAGAUUUAUCGCCAAAGGAUUAGCCCGCGUUGGAUUAGCUUGUUGGUGGGGUAAUGGCCCACCAAGGCGACGAUCCUUAGCUGGUCUGAGAGGAUGAUCAGCCACACUGGGACUGAGACACGGCCCAGACUCCUACGGGAGGCAGCAGUGGGGAAUAUUGGACAAUGGGCGAAAGCCUGAUCCAGCAAUGCCGCGUGAGUGAUGAAGGCCUUAGGGUUGUAAAGCUCUUUUACCCGGGAUGAUAAUGACAGUACCGGGAGAAUAAGCUCCGGCUAACUCCGUG